CGAGCGAGUCUGCCUUGAAGAUCGGAGUGCUUGCACUCUGUGAAACAAGAUACAGGCUAGCGGCGGACGGGUGAGUAACACGUGGGUAACCUGCCCAAGAGAUCGGGAUAACACCUGGAAACAGAUGCUAAUACCGGAUAACAACAGAUGAUGCCUAUCAACUGUUUAAAAGAUGGUUCUGCUAUCACUCUUGGAUGGACCUGCGGUGCAUUAGCUAGUUGGUAGGGUAACGGCCUACCAAGGCGAUGAUGCAUAGCCGAGUUGAGAGACUGAUCGGCCACAUUGGGACUGAGACACGGCCCAAACUCCUACGGGAGGCAGCAGUAGGGAAUCUUCCACAAUGGACGCAAGUCUGAUGGAGCAACGCCGCGUGAGUGAAGAAGGGUUUCGGCUCGUAAAGCUCUGUUGUUGGUGAAGAAGGACAGGGGUAGUAACUGACCUUUGUUUGACGGUAAUCAAUUAGAAAGUCACGGCUAACUACGUGCCAGCAGCUGCGGUAAUACGUAGGUGGCAAGCGUUGUCCGGAUUUAUUGGGCGUAAAGCGAGUGCAGGCGGCUCGAUAAGUCUGAUGUGAAAGCCUUCGGCUCAACCGGAGAAUUGCAUCAGAAACUGUCGAGCUUGAGUACAGAAGAGGAGAGUGGAACUCCAUGUGUAGCGGUGAAAUGCGUAGAUAUAUGGAAGAACACCGGUGGCGAAGGCGGCUCUCUGGUCUGUUACUGACGCUGAGGCUCGAAAGCAUGGGUAGCGAACA
rnacentral:rRNA from 1 species